rnacentral:rRNA from 1 species
AACGAACGCUGGCGGCAUGCCUAACACAUGCAAGUCGAACGAGAUCUUCGGGUCUAGUGGCGCACGGGUGCGUAACGCGUGGGAAUCUGCCCUUUGGUUCGGAAUAACAGUUGGAAGCGACUGCUAAUACCGGAUGAUGACGAAAGUCCAAAGAUUUAUCGCCAGAGGAUGAGCCCGCGUAGGAUUAGCUAGUUGGUGUGGUAGAGGCGCACCAAGGCGACGAUCCUUAGCUGGUCUGAGAGGAUGAUCAGCCACACUGGGACUGAGACACGGCCCAGACUCCUACGGGAGGCAGCAGUGGGGAAUAUUGGACAAUGGGCGAAAGCCUGAUCCAGCAAUGCCGCGUGAGUGAUGGAGGCCUUAGGGUUGUAAAGCUCUUUUACCCGGGAUGAUAAUGACAGUACCGGGAGAAUAAGCUCCGGCUAACUCCGUGCCAGCCGCCGCGGUAA